rnacentral:lncRNA from 1 species
CUCUCCCCGCCUACGGCGAGCGACGAGCGGCACAUCGAGCCGGCGCCGGGGAAAGGCGAAGCGCGACCCUGCCCUGCCAUGGAGAGUCGGGGGCUGGGCAAACUCAUAUGAUAUUGGAUCUCCUGCGAGUGAACCACCGAGUUUCAAAGUCAAGAUGUCCGAGCUUGACUCUGCACAGGCUGGCAGUGAAACACCCGGGGCUCAGUCUUCAGCAACUGCAGACAAGCCAACAGACACUACGUGUGAAAUAUCAGAGCAGCCAAGGGUGUACGAAGACCCCUUUGAAGUCUCCGUUAAGUACAUGGAGAAACACAAUAUUCUGCAGAUAUUUCGGGACAUCACAGAAAAACUGGUGUACCACAAGCCCGAUGACCCCUUGCAGUUCAUAUUGCAGCAGGUGCAGUCUAUGAUAGAUGCCAGGCAGGCAGAAAUGGAGGGAAGAUUGGAGGAGAAUGAAGAUGCAGAGGAGUUUAUGGAAGAGAUCUUGUACCCUCCUUUUGGCUCCUACUGACUUUGCUAUUGUGGUAUUGCAUGGGGCCGCAACAGCACUAUGCUUUUCUAGUCACUGAUUGUAACUUGGAAUACGUCUGCUUGUACCUCUGUUUCCUGAUUUUUCUAUUCUGUAUGUUUGUUCUUCCCCUUGGGUUUAAAUUCCGCAACCAAGUAUUGAUUUUGAUGCAAAAAACUCAAAUCUUAAAGUGUGCAUGGACCUGCAUGCACAUAUGCACACCUUGAAGAAGCGGGUCUGCUGAACUCCUGUUUGUGCAUACAAAUGCAUAAAUCCCACAGUUAGGCUACCCCUAGACUCUGCUUUUCCAUGCAGAGAAACCUCACAGCUCAGACAAUGCAAGCACAAAACCAAGUAGAAUUAAAAAGCAGCCCUGGAUGACCCACAGUCCUCUGUUUUUUCAUGCUGCAUCAGUGGCUUACUGUUUCCAGCUAUGCAGCAGUGCCUAUACCCAUUUAAUACUUUGAGAGGUUGGGUCUGUGGCUUUCCCACUGCCCCCAGAGCUGUUCUGAUGCAAGAACUGUCUCUCUGCUAUUGCGGGUUGCCCUGCUUGUAUUAUUGCAAGUACAGUGUAUAUUUUGAUAAGCAGAACAGUAAAAUAAUAGUUGAACCCACCCUCUGUGACUUCAGAAGACAUUGUCACUUAGGAAUGUGGGAGGUGAACAAAACUAAACAAACCAAAACCAACCACUGGUAGCCCAGGAAAUUCAGAGUCAAGGUACACUUUGCAAACACGCCAUUUGAACUGCUUUUGAUUCUCAAAACACUUAUAAUCCUCAUUUCAUAUUAUCCAAGUGUCUGUUUCCACCCUGUCUUUCAUUUUCUUGUCUUGUGCCUGAAGAUUACUGAAAAUGUGCAACAGAGCAUGCUGUUAUUUUGACUUCAUUUAAUGUGUAUGUGCAGUAGAUGCCAGAAAGUUUUUUGUCACAACAGACUUUUCUCUUUUUUAGGCAAGUGCUCUAAUUUCAUGAUAGAUGGUAAUGUAUUCCCAAAUGACUGUCUCUGUGGCUAUGAAGAGAGCACCAUAGAAACUUAUCUUCCAUCUAUCUAUUUUCAUCUAAAAGUCUGAUGAUUAGGUUGUGUGAUACUCCACUGCAGAGCUCAGGCCCAAAAAGUUUGGGAAUAACGGAGGGAGGUAUUUGGCACACAAAUUCUGUGGCUGAGAAGAGUUGCCUUUCUAUCUAAGGUUCUCAAAAGAGAUCAGUUAACUCAUGUGUUUCCAGGUUAAAGGUAGGUCAGCGCCCUUGUCAUUCAUAGGGCAGGAAGACUUUCAAGUUUAUUUUAAGCCUAAAUAUGGCUAAAGAUUCAGAUAAAAUCUUCAUGGGUUUUAUAAGAGUUUUGAUGUAGACGUAGGCAUCUAGGUCCCACUGAAGAAGUGAGAUGCUUUUGAAAGUCCUACUUAUCUGCAGCAACUGGAAGAAUUGGACACUUAAUGAAACAGAAAGCCUGAUUGGCUUUCAGCCUGAUAUAUUUUUGAUCAAGAAUUUAUAAGCAGCCUUGUGCCUAGGUGCCUUGUGAAUGUACGAGAAGUGCCAAUGCAGCUCUGUGAAACAGGAAAUGCAUGGAAUAUGAAGAUAGUGGCUGAAGCCUUUUCAUCUCUUUCAUCACUUGUUAGCAUGUUUUCCCAAGAGACAGAGAAAUUGGCAUUUUGUUGUAGAACAGGAUUAGGGUGCUUUUGAGUAUAGCCUUAGCUGUAAAUUUCCUGCUUCUGUCAUUUGUUUUUUGUAUUUUGUUGUUCUCUUUUACUUACAAAAAACUUCUGACUUGUAACACUUGAGGUGUAUGCCCUCAACUUCGUGUCAGCAUUAAGGAAGUUACGCAAGGACAGAUCCUUAAUUUCUCUGUCAGGUAAAUUGAAGUGAGCUGGAAAGUAGACCUCUUACAGAUGACAGAAGUUUUGCAAGACAGGCCCUACCCAGUGUUCCUCAGCAAUCUCAGGACCAAAUUUUUCCUUUGGUGGCCUGGCCACCUUAUUUCACGCUAAGAAAGUUGCUGUGUGGUAGCAAGAAGUCUUCCCCAAUGGACAUAAGAGAGAGCACAGCUGUCUCUCCUGUUUCUCAGGACCGAGGUCCCUCUCCUUUGAGGAGCAGCAGUUGUAUAAUAAUGAAUGAGGCUGUACUCAGUGUGGGCCUGGAGCUGGCAUGUGUAAAUGGCAAGAGACCAUGGAGGGCAGUAGGCCAAGGACAAUCCUUCAACUUCCACAGGCUUAGGGGGGAGUUGAUGAGCUCUGAACAAGGACUUUGACCAGAAAUCUUGGGGAACUCAUCAUGAACAGAGGAGAAAUUUCACUUCUCCUCAAGCCUCUCAGAUGGUGGGAUUGUAUUUUGAACUGCAGUUUUUCAAGGUAAAAAGUCUAGGAACUUAGUUUUAUGAAAACAAAAAAGCAUCCUCCAGAAUGUGUGCAGAUUAUUGUGUUUAAGCUAGUGCUACACAGCUGUCCCUUUCGAUUUGCUUCAGAGUUUUGCUGAAAAACACACCUUAGCUCUUGAAAAUUUUUACCUCACAUUAAGGCACUAGCACACCACUGCUAUUUGUGUGUAUGAAGGCCUUUCUGUGGUGAAGAAAAGGAGAAAAGUUAGAUUUUAAAUGGAAACAUUUAUUGUAGUCUUAAUUCCAGAAUGACUGUCCCUUUUUCAUAAUUUCUUUCUCAAACCAUCGGAUCCAUGUUUCUUUUUCAUAAGUGGACAUUUAUCAACGUGACAUUAAACUGUCAUUAAUUGUUUCGCCUUGGAUGCUCUGAAGGAAUGAACAGAUCAUUGUGUGUAACCGAAACUAUUCCAUAUAAGUCCUUAUAGCACACUAGUCACAGUAUAUUUGAAUGCCCUCCAGUAGUGUGCUAAGCAACGUGACUAACAUCUGUUGUUUGUUCUUUCUCCUCUCCACAAGGGACAUGUCUGUGCACUGAAGUGCAUUCUUUUUAAAAGGGUAUUUUGUUUUUUUUUACCCGCACCUGUGUAUUGCUGUGUGUUUCUAGUGGAUAGGGAUAGGUCAUGGAGUGGAAGGUGGGGAGGUUGGAAGUGGUUUGUAGUUCCCAAGCAUAUUUCCUCUGUAGUUUGAGCUGGGCACUGAGGAAGCACCGUAUUUUCACAGACAAGAUUUUUUGUUGAUCCAUGGACUGGCACAGAAGCAUGACAUCCAGUUCAGCUGCCAAAUAGCAUGAUCUUAUGGUGCACAGACCAUUUCUGUUGUGAACCUUGUACUCCCCCAGAAGCAGGAUGGGGAAGGGCCAACCAGAAGGAAAGUGUACUCACUGUGAAAUAGGUGUCUCGGACCAAAACAUUAGUUUCUUUUUCUGCCAUCUCUGUACAGAACUUAAAAUGACUCAGAUGCCCCAAGCAAUAGUAAACUUGCCUGUGUGCUGCCUCUAACCAAUGAAAAAAAAAUAAAAAUAAAGUUGAAACUGCUGAUUAAAGAUCC